rnacentral:rRNA from 1 species
GACGAACGCUGGCGGCGUGCUUAACACAUGCAAGUCGAACGGAAAGGCCCUGCUUUUGUGGGGUGCUCGAGUGGCGAAAGGGUGAGUAACACGUGAGUAACCUGCCCUUUACUUUGGGAUAACUUCAGGAAACUGGGGCUAAUACCGGAUAGGAGCUCCUGCUGCAUGGUGGGGGUUGGAAAGUUUCGGCGGUUGGGGAUGGACUCGCGGCUUAUCAGCUUGUUGGUGGGGUAGUGGCUUACCAAGGCUUUGACGGGUAGCCGGCCUGAGAGGGUGACCGGCCACAUUGGGACUGAGAUACGGCCCAGACUCCUACGGGAGGCAGCAGUGGGGAAUAUUGCACAAUGGGCGGAAGCCUGAUGCAGCAACGCCGCGUGCGGGAUGACGGCCUUCGGGUUGUAAACCGCUUUCGCCUGUGACGAAGCGUGAGUGACGGUAAUGGGUAAAGAAGCACCGGCUAACUACGU